CGGCAACAGCUCAAAUUUGAAAUCUGGCGCACGCCCGAGUUGUAAUUUGCAGAGGAUGCUUCUGGGCAGCGGCCGGUCUAAGUUCCUUGGAACAGGACGUCACAGAGGGUGAGAAUCCCGUA
rnacentral:rRNA from 1 species